GACGAACGCUGGCGGCGUGCUUAACACAUGCAAGUCGAACGGAAAGGCCCUGCUUUUGUGGGGUGCUCGAGUGGCGAACGGGUGAGUAACACGUGAGUAACCUGCCCUUGACUUUGGGAUAACUUCAGGAAACUGGGGCUAAUACCGGAUAGGAGCUCCUGCUGCAUGGUGGGGGUUGGAAAGUUUCUGCGGUUGGGGAUGGACUCGCGGCUUAUCAGCUUGUUGGUGGGGUAGUGGCUUACCAAGGCUUUGACGGGUAGCCGGCCUGAGAGGGUGACCGGCCACAUUGGGACUGAGAUACGGGCCAGACUCCUACGGGAGGCAGCAGUGGGGAAUAUUGCACAAUGGGCGGAAGCCUGAUGCAGCAACGCCGCGUGCGGGAUGACGGCCUUCGGGUUGUAAACCGCUUUCGCCUGUGACGAAGCGUGAGUGACGGUAAUGGGUAAAGAAGCACCGGCUAACUACGUG
rnacentral:rRNA from 1 species